GAUGAACGCUAGCGGGAGGCUUAACACAUGCAAGUCGAGGGGCACCUUAGAGCAAUCUGGGGGAGACCGGCGGACGGGUGCGUAACGCGUAUGCAACCUGCCUUUAACCGGGGGAUAGCCCGUGGAAACGCGGAUUAAUACCCUAUGGUUCAUAUUAUGCGCAUGGGUGAUAUGAUAAAGAUUUAUUGGUUAGAGAUGGGCAUGCGUCUGAGUAGCUAGUUGGUAGGGUAACGGCCUACCAAGGCGACGAUCAGUAGGGGUUCUGAGAGGAAUAACCCCCACACUGGUACUGAGACACGGACCAGACUCCUACGGGAGGCAGCAGUGAGGAAUAUUGGUCAAUGGGCGAGAGCCUGAACCAGCCAUUCCGCGUGAAGGAAGAAUGCCUUAUGGGUUGUAAACUUCUUUUCUAUCAGAAGAAUAAGCCAGACGGGUUUUGGUGAUGCCGGUAUGAUAGGAAUAAGCAUCGGCUAACUCCGUGCCAGCCGCCGCGGUAACAC
rnacentral:rRNA from 1 species